rfam:Drosophila ananassae strain TSC#14024-0371.13 Ctg01_19337, whole genome shotgun sequence.
AUUCCCCUAAAUUGAUGAUAACUUCAUACCCAACUCAGAACACUUAUGUUGAAAUCUUUUUAACAUGCAUCACCAUCUGAAUAAAUC